GACGAACGCUGCGCUCGUGCUUAACACAUGCAAGUCGAACGGAAAGGCCCUGCUUUUGUGGGGUGCUCGAGUGGCGAACGGGUGAGUAACACGUGAGUAACCUGCCCUUGACUUUGGGAUAACUUCAGGAAACUGGGGCUAAUACCGGAUAGGAGCUCCUGCUGCAUGGUGGGGGUUGGAAAGUUUCGGCGGUUGGGGAUGGACUCGCGGCUUAUCAGCUUGUUGGUGGGGUAGUGGCUUACCAAGGCUUUGACGGGUAGCCGGCCUGAGAGGGUGACCGGCCACAUUGGGACUGAGAUACGGCCCAGACUCCUACGGGAGGCAGCAGUGGGGAAUAUUGCACAAUGGGCGGAAGCCUGAUGCAGCAACGCCGCGUGCGGGAUGACGGCCUUCGGGUUGUAAACCGCUUUCGCCUGUGACGAAGCGUGAGUGACGGUAAUGGGUAAAGAAGCACCGGCUAACUACGUGCCAGCAGCCGCGGUGAUACGUAGGGUGCGAGCGUUGUCCGGAUUUAUUGGGCGUAAAAGGGCUCGUAGGUGGUUGAUCGCGUCGGAAGUGUAAUCUUGGGGCUUAACCCUGAGCGUGCUUUCGAUACGGGUUGACUUGAGGAAGGUAGGGGAGAAUGGAAUUCCUGGUGGAGCGGUGGAAUGCGCAGAUAUCAGGAGGAACACCAGUGGCGAAGGCGGUUCUCUGGGCCUUUCCUGACGCUGAGGAGCGAAAGCGUGGGGAGCGAACAGGCUUAGAUACCCUGGUAGUCCACGCUGUAAACGGUGGGUACUAGGUGUGGGGUCCAUUCCACGGGUUCCGUGCCGUAGCUAACGCUUUAAGUACCCCGCCUGGGAAGUACGGCCGCAAGGCUAAAACUCAAAGGAAUUGACGGGGCCCCGCACAAGCGGCGGAGCAUGCGGAUUAAUUCGAUGCAACGCGUAGAACCUUACCUGGGUUUGACAUGGAUCGGGAGUGCUCAGAGAUGGGUGUGCCUCUUUUGGGGUCGGUUCACAGGUGGUGCAUGGCUGUCGUCAGCUCGUGUCGUGAGAUGUUGGGUUAAGUCCCGCAACGAGCGCAACCCUUGUUCACUGUUGCCAGCACGUUAUGGUGGGGACUCAGUGGAGACCGCCGGGGUCAACUCGGAGGAAGGUGGGGAUGACGUCAAGUCAUCAUGCCCCUUAUGUCCAGGGCUUCACGCAUGCUACAAUGGCUGGUACAGAGAGUGGCGAGCCUGUGAGGGUGAGCGAAUCUCGGAAAGCCGGUCUCAGUUCGGAUUGGGGUCUGCAACUCGACCUCAUGAAGUCGGAGUCGCUAGUAAUCGCAGAUCAGCAACGCUGCGGUGAAUACGUUCCCGGGGCU
rnacentral:rRNA from 1 species